rnacentral:lncRNA from 1 species
UCCGCCACCAUGACUCCAAACCCCUCCAUGGCCACCAAAAUCAAAACCACCUGUUAAACCUCCAUCACCGCCAACGCCACCUCCGUUUCCUCCACCACCCAACUCCACAUCCCCACCGCCUCCAUCCUCUCCUCCCCCAUCCCCACCUCCUCCUCCGUCGCCACCACCUCCUCCGUCGCCACCACCUCCACCAUUUAUCCCGCUUCGAGUCAAAACCGCAAGAAAUGUAAAAACAGCAAAAGUAGAAGCGAAAGCUAUGAUGAUGAUUACAAAAGUCUCCAUCCUUAUAAACAAAAUCGGCACGUAUAAU